UACAGAGGUCUCAAGCGUUGUUCGGAUUCAUUGGGCAUAAAGGGUGCGUAGGUGGCGCCGUAAGUCGGGUGUGAAAUUUCGGAGCUUAACUCCGAAACUGCAUUCGAUACUGCGGUGCUUGAGGACUGGAGAGGAGACUGGAAUUCAUGGUGUAGCAGUGAAAUGCGUAGAGAUCAUGAGGAAGACUAGUGGCGAAGGCGGGUCUCUGGACAGUUCCUGACACUGAGGCACGAAGGCCAGGGGAGCAAACGGG
rnacentral:rRNA from 1 species